rnacentral:rRNA from 1 species
UACAGAGGGGGCAAGCGUUGUCCGGAAUUACUGGGCGUACAGCGCGCGCAGGCGGACCGCCACGUGCCGUGUGACAAGCCACUGCUCAACAGUGGAGGGCCAGGGUACACGAGCGGUCUGGAGGCAGGGAGAGGGAUGUGGAAUGCCCGGUGGAGCGGUGAAAUGCGUAGAGAUCGGGCGGAACACCUGUGGCGAAGGCGGCCCCCUGGUUGGAUACUGACGCUGAUACGCGAAAGCGUGGGGAGCAAACAGG